CCUACGGGUGGCAGCAGUGAGGAAUAUUGGUCAAUGGCCGUGAGGCUGAACCAGCCAAGUCGCGUGAGGGAAGAAUGUUCUAUGGUUUGUAAACUUCUUUUGUCAGGGAGUAAAGGUAUCCACGUGUGGGUGUUUGCGUGUACCCGAUGAAUAAGCAUCGGCUAACUCCGUGCCAGCAGCCGCGGUAAUACGGAGGAUGCGAGCGUUAUCCGGAUUUAUUGGGUUUAAAGGGUGCGUAGGUGGGUUAUUAAGUCAGCGGUGAAAGUUUGUGGCUCAACCCUAACCCUGCCGUUGAAACUGGUAGUCUUGAGUGUGCGUGAGGUAGGCGGAAUGCGUGGUGUAGCGGUGAAAUGCAUAGAUAUCACGCAGAACUCCGAUUGCGAAGGCAGCAUACCGAGGCCCAACUGACACUGAAGCACGAAAGCGUGGGUAUCAAACAGGAUUAGAUACCCUGGUAGUC
rnacentral:rRNA from 1 species